UACAGAGGUCCCAAGCGUUAUCCGGAUUCACUGGGCGUAAAGGGCACGCAGGCGGCUCGGCAGGUAGGGCAUGAAAUCUCCCGGCUUAACUGGGAGGGGCUGUCCUAAACCGCUGGGCUUGAGGGCGGGAGAGGGAAGUGGAAUUGCCGGUGUAGUGGUGAAAUGCGUAGAGAUCGGCAGGAACACCAGUGGCGAAGGCGACUUCCUGGUCCGCCCCUGACGCUCAUGUGCGAAAGCUAGGGUAGCGAACGGG
rnacentral:rRNA from 1 species